AAAUUAGCCGUUUGGCGGCAUGUCUUACACAUGCAGUCGAACGGCAGCAUGAUCUAGCUUGCUAGAUUGAUGGCGAGUGGCGAACGGGUGAGUAAUACAUCGGAACGUGCCCUGUAGUGGGGGAUAACUAGUCGAAAGAUUAGCUAAUACCGCAUACGACCUGAGGGUGAAAGUGGGGGACCGCAAGGCCUCAUGCUAUAGGAGCGGCCGAUGUCUGAUUAGCUAGUUGGUGGGGUAAAGGCCCACCAAGGCGACGAUCAGUAGCUGGUCUGAGAGGACGAUCAGCCACACUGGGACUGAGACACGGCCCAGACUCCUACGGGAGGCAGCAGUGGGGAAUUUUGGACAAUGAGCGAAAGCCUGAUCCAGCAAUGCCGCGUGUGUGAAGAAGGCCUUCGGGUUGUAAAGCACUUUUGUCCGGAAAGAAAUGGCUCUGGUUAAUACCUGGGGUCGAUGACGGUACCGGAAGAAUAAGGACCGGCUAACUACGUGCCAGCAGCCGCGGUAAUACGUAGGGUCCAAGCGUUAAUCGGAAUUACUGGGCGUAAAGCGUGCGCAGGCGGUUGUGCAAGACCGAUGUGAAAUCCCCGAGCUUAACUUGGGAAUUGCAUUGGUGACUGCACGGCUAGAGUGUGUCAGAGGGGGGUAGAAUUCCACGUGUAGCAGUGAAAUGCGUAGAGAUGUGGAGGAAUACCGAUGGCGAAGGCAGCCCUGUGGGAUAAACACUGACGCUCAUGCACCGAAAGCGUGUGCAGCAAACAGGCAUUAGAUACCCUGGUAGUCCACGCCCUAAACGAUGUCAACUAGUUGUUGGGG
rnacentral:rRNA from 1 species